rnacentral:rRNA from 1 species
UGAGUAACACGUGGGUAACCUGCCUCAAAGAGGGGGAUAGCCUCCCGAAAGGGAGAUUAAUACCGCAUAACAUUAUUUCUUCGCAUGAAGAGAUAAUCAAAGGAGUAAUCCGCUUUGAGAUGGACCCGCGGCGCAUUAGCUAGUUGGUGAGGUAAUGGCUCACCAAGGCAACGAUGCGUAGCCGACCUGAGAGGGUGAUCGGCCACAUUGGAACUGAUAUACGGUCCAGACUCCUACGGGAGGCAGCAGUGGGGAAUAUUGCGCAAUGGGGGAAACCCUGACGCAGCAACGCUUUUUUUUUGAAGAAGGCCUUCGGGUUGUAAAGCUCUGUCUUCUGGGACGAUAAUGACGGUACCAGAGGAGGAAGCCACGGCUAACUACGUGCCAGCAGCCGCGGUA